CCUACGGGAGGCAGCAGUGGGGAAUUUUGGACAAUGGGGGCAACCCUGAUCCAGCAAUGCCGCGUGUGUGAAGAAGGCCUUCGGGUUGUAAAGCUCUUUCGGCGGGGACGAUGAUGACGGUACCCGCAGAAGAAGCCCCGGCUAACUUCGUGCCAGCAGCCGCGGUAAU
rnacentral:rRNA from 1 species